ACAAAAGUAAAAGAGUUUGUUAGCGAGUUUUUUUUUUUUUUUUUUAAGUUUACUACAUUUGAGCUUGAGAGAGAAAAAAGAAAACAGCAUAAAGAUAAAAUAAAAAUGACUCACCAGCUGGUUGAAAAUGGACAGAUCAUUUGAAUAAGGAAGAAAAGCUCCAUAGCUUUGUGCGGCAGCGAAAGGUGAUCCGUACAUAGUGGAGAGAACAUUAGAGAGCGCUCCGGACGGGCUCAGGUCUGUCCCGGCUCGGACACUGCCUAAACCCUGCCUGUCCUGCGGGUAUAUGGGUCGGAUGUACUGAUAUCCCAGCUGUGGGAAAGACAUUGUUGUGGAGAAAGUCUGCUGGAGUCACAAAAAGCGGCGAAUCGCCCUCUUGGUGCGCACCACGAUAUCCACUUUACAGUGAGUACAAAGUGUCAGGGAAGUCUAUAUUUCCUCCGAAAGAGCCAGUGUAAACGAUCCGAUUGCGCUUUCCUCCCUUACUUCCCUAUUGAUCUGAAUGGACUAAGGUCAGGUCCUUACAGAUUGCUUUAGAUUAUUGGAACUCCUUUUUGUGAUUGACAUUUUUAGUCGUUCAGAAGCUCCUCCCAUUUCUCAAGUCUUACCCCCACUUACAGAGCCUCUCUCUCUCUCUCUCUCUCUCUCUCUCUCUCUCUCCCGCACCCCCUCUCUCUCUCUGCUCCUGCUCUCCGUCUGGAUAAGUCCUCUGACGUCGCCAUUUCUUAUUUGAAUGAGUUUAAAAUCUCAUUUUAUGGCUCGCCAAUCAUUUCAUUUGUUAUUUGUUCGCAGUUUCAGCCCUUUCCCAUUUCUCGUGUUAUUUCUCAGAAAUUUUGAUCAUCCACAAAAGGCUUUUGGCAACUCAAGAAAAGCACAGACGAAAAAGGAAGAAAAAAAAUCAUUUUCCUCAGCAUCAACGCUUCGACGACAUGCACCCCCAGUCUAUUACGUGACUGCUGAAGUCUGAGUGCUGAGGUUGUGGAAAUCUGGAGGGACUUAUUCUCGAUUGUUUCAUCGGCUGUGAUACGGAGCAAACGUAGUCGGAGCAGCGCGGUCAUAAACUGGGAAUUUGGAUUUGGAAAAUUGCUCAGGCAGCGGCGGCCACGCGCAGUAAUUGAUUGAGAAGGUCAGAGCACGCGCUGCCCAAUCUUCGCGCACAGCUUUGGUAAAUAUUUUGAUGGUGGUCUUGCGCCUGCUUCGAGUUGUUCUAUUAGCAAGGCAGGGUCACUUUCAUUUAUCGCUAUUUGCCAACAUCUGCCCUCUCAGCAAAGAGUGCAC
rnacentral:lncRNA from 12 species